rnacentral:rRNA from 1 species
CUUGAUAAAAUAAAUAUAAGGGGUCCUGCCUGCCCAGUGACUGAGAAGUUAAACGGCCGCGGUAUCUUGACCGUGCGAAGGUAGCCAUAAUCAUUUGUCUCCUAAAUAGAGACUGGUAUGNAUGGCAAGACGGAGCUCCACUGUCUCCUCCUCUUUAAUCUGAAUUUCACAUUCCCGUGAAGAGGCGAGAAUUAAAUCGUAAGACGAGAAGACCCUGUCGAGCUGUAGUUAAACUUUAAUUGUUAUUUACCGUUGAUCCUAACUAAUAUGUAUAAAAGUAGUGGGCCCAAAGCAUAACAAAUUGAAAUACGCUUUGAUUGGGGCAAUCCCGGAGAAAGAAAAUCCUCCGUUACUAUAUGGUUUUAUUAAACCUAAAAUAAAAGAACUAUCCUUCUUAAAUCAUAGAAAUGAAGGCGUGNUCCNCUUNCAGUGAUCAAAAGAACAAG